rnacentral:rRNA from 1 species
UAGAUACCCUAUUAUUUUAAAUGUAAAUAAAAUUUACUAAAGAAGUAUUAGUUAUGUUCUUGAAAUUUAAAGAUUUUGGCGGUAUUUUAGUCUAUUUAGAGGAACCUGUUCUGUAAUUGAUAGUCCACGAUUAACUUUACUUAAUUUAUAAAUUUGUAUAUCGUCGUUAUAAGAAAAUUUUAUAAGAAUAAUAAAUUUUUAAUAUUUUAAAUAAAAAUAUAUAUCAGAUCAAGGUGCAGUUAAUAUUUAAGUAGAAAUGGGUUACAAUAAAUAUAUUUAUUAAUGGAUUAAAAUAAGAAUAUAAUUUUAUGAAGGUGGAUUUAAUAGUAAUAAAAUUUAAAUAAAUUUUAUGAUUUUAGCUCUAAAAUAUGUACAUAUCGCCCGUCGCUCUUAUUAUAAAAUAAGAUAAGUCGUAACAUAGUAGAUGUACUGGAAAGUGUAUCUAGAAUGACAAAUUAGAGCUUGUUUAGUAAAGCAUUUUAUUUACAUUAAAAAGUUGUCGUGCAAUUCGAUUUAAUGAAAUUAAGAAAUUAUUUUUAUCAUUUAUUUUUUUUUAUUUUAAUAAAAAUAAUUUUAAAUAUUAUUUUUUUAGUAUAAUUUAUAGAAAAAAAUAUAUUAAUUAUAGUUAAAUAGUAUUGUGAGAGAAAGUUGAAAUAAAAUUUUAAUUAUAUAAAAGUAAAAUUGAUUUUUUGUACCUUGUGUAUCAGGGUUUAUUAAAUAAAAAUUAAUUAAGUUAAUUUUCUCGAUUUUAAGAGAGUUAAUAAAUUAUUUUUUUUAUUGUAAAAAAAAUAUUUAUAAUAAUUUAUUAGUAAUGAAAUGUUAUUCGUUCUUAAAGAUAUCUAGUUUAUUUAGAAAUGAAUUUAAUUCAGAUAUUUUAAUUUUAAUAAUUUAAUUUAUUAAAUUAUUAAAUUUUAAUGUUAAUAAUUAAAGGGAUUAGCUUUUAAUUAAAAAACUAUAAAUAAAUAAUAUAAUUAAUAAAAAAUGUAAGUUUAGAAAUAUCUAUCAUUAGUAAUUUGUUAUAAUUAAUUUAUUUUAAUAUAUUAUUUUAUAUAAUUUUAGGUUUUUUAUAAAUAAAUAAUUUUUAAUUUUUUAAAAUUAGAUAUAAUGAUAAAAUUAGUAUAUAAAUUGAAUAUUUUAAUAAUAAUUUAUUAUAGAUUAUUUAAAGGAAUUCGGCAAAUAUUUUACUCGCCUGUUUAACAAAAACAUGUCUUUUUGUAUUAUAUAUAAAGUCUAACCUGCCCACUGAAUUUAUUUUUAAAUGGCCGCAGUAUUUUGACUGUGCAAAGGUAGCAUAAUCAUUAGUUUUUUAAUUAAAAGCUUGUAUGAAAGGUUGGACGAAGUAAAAUCUGUCUCUAUUUAAUUUAAUAUAGAAUUUAAUUUUUAAGUAAAAAAGCUUAAAUAAAUAUAAAAGACGAGAAGACCCUAUAGAGCUUAAUAUUAUUAUAUAUAUAAUAAAUUAAGAUUUAUUUAAGUUUUAUUUAUAAUAGUAUUUUAUUGGGGUAAUAGAAAGAUUUAAAAAAUUCUUUUUUAAAAUUUACAUUAAUUUAUGAAUUUAAUGAUCCAUUUUUAGUGAUUAUAAGAUUAAGUUACCUUAGGGAUAACAGCGUAAUUUUUUUAGAGAGUUCUUAUCGAUAAAAAAGUUUGCGACCUCGAUGUUGGAUUAAAGAUUAAUUUAGGUGUAGAAGUUUAAAUUUUUGGUCUGUUCGACCAUUAAAUCUUUACAUGAUCUGAGUUCAAACCGGAGAA